CAAGCCGUUUUCAAUCAGGUGGAGACUGCUCUGCUCAUCCCAGAGGCCUCAGUUAUACAUCCCUUGGUGUAAAAAAUGUGAUUCAAUAAUUUAUAGAAGAAAAGAAGCUUCUGAAUUUCUGUCCCAAGUCUGUUGUGUCAGAUGAUGACGAGCUAUCCUUGUUUUAAAGCCCCCUGUGCUGCCUGUUGUCUUCACGUCACUCAAACAUUUCGAGCUAAAUGGCUAUCAGUCAAGACUGGUGCCACACAGCCAGAAGAUUUACAUGUACAACUAUUAUCUAAGUCUCAAGGACUUUUUUCCAUUCUGCAUAACCUACCCAGCUUUCAGGAUUUAUAUUUAUAUUCAAAAGGGGGGCAUGAGGAAGUGUAACAUCCAGCCAGUCUUCGAGCACCGCACUGUAAUGCAGAGUCAGGAAGAACAACUGCCAACUAUUCAUAAACAAGACACCACUGAGAGAAUCCUAGGACAUAAGGGUGAGGCUGAAGCUCUCCCCUGCACCUCAGAGACCAAGACAGACUGCAUUGGAAAGACUAGAAGUCCUCGAUCAAUGUUCCAGUCAAUUAGCUUCCUGGUAAUAACUCUCUUCCUGACUUGUGGAUGGACGAUGGAUGGCUUCCUACAGGGUCCUCACAGGCCCUUUGCUUGGCGCUUGUGCACAGAGUGAGACUGAGCUGUGCCUCCUCUUCUCAUCAGUACACCAAUCCUACCAGAUCAAGGCUCCACCCUUCUCAAGGUCACUUAACCUUAAUUACUUCCUUAGAAGCCCCCUCUCCGAAUACACCCGCCCUGGGGUUAGGGCUUCAGCAUAGGAA
rnacentral:lncRNA from 1 species